UACGAAGGUGGCAAGCGUUGUUCGGAUUUACUGGGCGUACAGGGAGCGUAGGCGGUUCGGUAAGCCCUCCGUGAAAUCUCCAGGCUCAACCUGGAAAGUGCAGAGGGGACUGCCGGGCUAGAGGAUGGGAGAGGAGCGCGGAAUUCCCGGUGUAGCGGUGAAAUACGUAGAGAUCGGGAGGAAGGCCGGUGGCGAAGGCGGCGCUCUGGAACAUUUCUGACGCUGAGGCUCGAAAGCGUGGGGAGCAAACAGG
rnacentral:rRNA from 1 species